rnacentral:lncRNA from 1 species
UGAUUUUAUGUGCAUCGAAUUAGUAAUGAAAUGAUUUACCGUAGUUUCACUUUCAUUGUUCACAUUCUUUUUCUUGAAAUAACCAGUACACGUACAAUGCAUGCGUUGUCAAUCUCUAGCUAGGGGUUAAAUUGAAGUUCACAUGAAUACGGAUUUAAAGAGGUCAACUCAUUCACUUGCAAGUGAAUAACUAAUUAUCAAUGUUUCU